ACAGGUCUGGGUAAUCUUUGAAAUUUCAUCGUGAUGGGGAUAGAUCAUUGCAAUUGUUGGUCUUCAACGAGGAAUUCCUAGUAAGCGCGAGUCAUCAGCUCGCGUUGACUACGUCCCUACCCUUUGUACACACCGCCCGUCGCUCCUACCGAUUGAAUGAUCCGGUGAAGUGUUCGGAUCACGGCGACGUGGGUUGUUCGCCGUCUGCGACGUCGCGAGAAGUCCACUAAACCUUAUCAUUUAGAGGAAGGAGAAGUCGUAACAAGGUUUCCGUAGGUGAACCUGCUUGAGAACAAGUACUAAGUUUUGAAAUAAACCUCUAUGAACAUUCAUAAAUAUUUAAUAAUAUAAUAUAUCAGUACUUGAGAACAAGUACUAAGGUUUGAAAUAAACCUCUAUGAACAUUCAUAAAUAUUUAUUACGUGUGUGUAAACACCUCACCAAUUCAAUAUUUGAUCAAGAGACAAAGCCUAUCAAUCAUCUACAUUUUCAAUCAUGCACCACUAAUUUAUAACUCUUUAAUCAUCUAUCUAGACUCACCUUUAAAUCCAUGAGAUUGGCUAAGGAAGACUAUACUCGAGCUCAAGCUAAUCACACUCGACUUCUGGAAUAUUCUCGAUUUACAACCACCACAAGGAUCCGGCUGAUCCGAACACUAUCCUUGACCAUCUGUACCAAUAACAGAACGGUUGGAAAAAAGGUUAAUCAGUCCGGUUCAACCUCACAGUUCAAGAUGCAGGACAGCUACAAAGGCAAGUUCAAGGCAGCUUCAUUUCGGUUCAAACAUAAAUCAUUUCAGUUAAGUUGUCUAGAUGCUAGGGGACCAAGAACUGAAAUAAUAUAAAUCCACACAAGGGAUUAAGAAAUUAAUCCAGAGAGGAAGAACAACAACUCAGCCAGCUGGUUGUAAUCUAAACUGAUAUGGAUCAAAAGGCAAAACAGUUUACCGGUUCAAAUCAAACACUGUCUGAACUUAACUGAUACUCCACCUUAAGAUAAAGCCACGCCAAACCUGAUCAGUAUCACAUCAAGAAAAGGUCGGAAUCAAUCAGAACAAAGCUGAAUCACAGUCAAUGCAACAGAAAUGCUCACAUAAAACUGAUCCACACAACAACUUACAUCUUUACCGAUUAAAAUCAAAGGCUGAAGAACAUGGGUGAUUCUCAACUUCAGGACACCAAAUCUCCAACUCUUUACCACACAAAUACUCACUGACUAAAGUCACAAGAUGGUGAGAAAGGGUCGUCCAAGCUCACUUCUCUUCCCUGAUUUUUUUUCUGAAUUUUUCAACCAAUUUUUCUAACAGAUUAUUCUCUCUUCUUUCUCUCUUUCUCUCUGAACUUUUCUCUGGUUUUCUAUCUGUUUCAGGACGUCCAGAGGAUAGAAGAGGGUAUUUUAUAUCAUAAGGAGUUGCUUCAGAUGAGGGUUUGCUCACACAAAAGACAAAGAUGAGGUUAGACAGCUGGUGACAUGCUUCAGCACACCAAGCAGCACAAGCAGCUGAACAUUUCCCUUCCAUGAAGAAAGAUACAAGCAGCUGAAGCAAACAGCUUGUGACCAGCAUGUGACUUCUAAUGAGCAAGCAGGUAAGCAAGUAGGUGCAUGUCAUGUGACCUAAUUACAGAGGAAGCAAGUAGGCUAGAAGGUGCAAGGCAUGUGACUAUUCAGAAAUAAUUUUAAGAGUUUUGUCGAUAUUUUUUUGGACGGUUUUGACUAAAUAUUUUUCAUCCUUCGAAUCUCGUCCUUCUCGGAAUAAACUCGCCCAGAAUGAAUAAAAAUCGACAAGAAUAAUUAACACUCGCCCAGAACCAUCAAGAGAUAGUCUUUCGACCAAAAGACAGCCCCGUAGAGAGAUUAAUUCACCGUAUCGAUUUUUAUUUAAAUUCUGAUCGACCAAUCUUCAAACUGAUCUUAAAGAAUUUUCUCCACCAAAAUUCUAUCUGCUCGUGAUGGUUAUUACACGGACAGCCACGGACGUCCUGUGUGUGCUGACGGACACACACGGACGUCAUGUGUGUGCUGACGGACACCCACGGACGUCCUGUGUGUACUGAACAGACAGCCUACGUGGGCCAAAAUCACCCGAACAGUCCACGGGAAGGGACAGCGUGCUGAGUCCAAGGACCAACGUGCUGAUAUGUGUACUGAUGGACAGCCACGGACGUCCUGUGUGUGCUGACGGACACACACGGACACACACGGACAGCCAUGGACGUCCUGUGUGUGCUGACGGACACCCACGGACGUCCUGUGUGUGCUGAUGGACACCCACGGACGUCCUGUGUGUACUGAACAGACAGCCCACGUGGGCCAAAAUCACCCGAACAGUCCACUAGAAGGGCCAGCGUGCUGAUAUGUGUACUGAUGGACAGCCACAUACGUCCUGUGUGUGCUGACGGACGCACACGAAUAGCCACAGACAGCCACGGACGUCCUGUGUGUGCUGACGGACAGCCACGGACGUCCUGUGUGUGCUGGCAGACAUUCACGGACGUCCUGUGUGUACUGAACAGACAGCCCACGUGGGCCAAAAUCACCCAAACAGUCCACGGGAAGGGCCAGCGUCCUGAGUCCAAGGACCAACGUGCUGAUAUGUGUACUGAUGAACAGCCACAUACGACCUGUGUGUGCUGACGGACACAGACGUACACACACGGACACACAUGGACAGCCACGGAUGUCAUGUGUGUGCUGGCGGACUAGACGUUCUGUGUGUGCUGACGGACACACACGGACACACACGGACAGGCACGGACGUCCUGUGUGUUCUGACGGACACACACGGACGUCCUGUGUGUUCUGACGGACACACACAGACGACCUGUGUGUACUGAACAGACAGCCCACGUGGGCCAAAAAUCACCCACGGACAGCCAAAAUCACCCGAGAAGCCAAAAAUUCAAAAGGUAAUAUUUUUGAAUAAAGUUUUCGAAAGGAAACAUCAAAAAUAUGUCAACAAAGAGUUUAGGAUGUCAAGUGUUGAUCAAAAGUUGCUGUAGACAUCCGUUUAGACCACGAAACCCCGAACUUUGUAGCAUACAAAAGACAUGGUUAGAAGCAAAAGAAAAUCAUGAAAAUGUACCAGAAAAUAGCUUUAACCAUUCUUAUGAAGCAUGCAAAAAAUCAGAUUCAAAUUCGAAGUAUUUUCUUUUUUACAUUAAAAAUACUCCCGGAACACAACCAAUGUCUACUGGUGACAAAUUGAAAAAAAAAGUGUUUUGUCUAUAUAAGGGGUACGCACUCUUCUGAGCCUACCCUCAGUACCCGAAGGGGUAUGUAGUGGUGGACUGCUCGGUCCAACACUAUCGAUGGCUGGGUUGAGGUCGAUGGCCGGAUUGUCUCCGGUGAAUUUUCUGGUAACUUUUUCGGCAAAUUUUCCAGCGGACCGUUUUGCCCCUAACUUCAAAUUUUCUUGCUUGUGUGGUCUUGGUCUGGUUUCAUCCGUCUUCCAGUUGCUCUUUUGAUUACAUCUCAAGAGUGGUUGGAAAGAUUGAUGUUAGCGGGACAAAUGAACUUUCGGCGUAUGAGUGGUGAUUGGAUAGCUAGUGUUUGUAGGCUCUGUGCUCGCGCACCCAACUACAGACCAACUAUCCUCCUUAGUUUCUUCACUAGCAUAGUUUUAUGCUUGUUGAACUGAUCCGGGGCAUGUGUUGCGUACCCUUAUGCUUGUUGAACUGUUCCGGGGCCUGUGGUGCGUACCUAACUGGAAGGAAUUGUUAAGCUAUGCUUAAAAUGUUGUUUGCGGCAUCUCCUUCAGUGGGGAAGUCGUGAACACAUUAGCCGGCACUUGUGAUCCUUGCGUCUUUGCAUAGUUUAUGCAUUGUUCGCAAAGGUGAAUAAGCUGUUUGCUGAGAUCUCGGUUGCGGAAAUAUUAUGGCGGUGACUCGAAGAAAUUCUGUCCCGCUAAGCAUGUUUGUCUCUGGACAAAAGAUGACGGUUAAGUCUGCGUCUGUUCCCACUUUCCAUGUGUUUGCGGGAAUAUGACGUGGUCUUGCCCUGAUUUAUGAAUGCUACCUGGUUGAUCCUGCCAGUAGUCAUAUGCUUGUCUCAAAUAUUAAGCCAUGCAUGUGUAAGUAUGAACGAAUUCAGACUGUGAAACUGCGAAUGGCUCAUUAAAUCAGUUAUAGUUUGUUUGAUGGUAACUACUACUCGGAUAAUCGUAGUAAUUCUAGAGCUAAUACGUGCAACAAAACCCGACUUCUGGAAGAGAUGCAUUUAUUAGAUAAAAGGUCGACGCGGGCUCUGCCCGUUGCUCUGAUGAUUCAUGAUAACUCGACGGAUCGCAUGGCCUUAUUGCUGGCGACGCAUCAUUCAAAUUUCUGCCCUAUCAACUUUCGAUGGUAGGAUAGUGGCCUACCAUGGUGGUAACGGGUGACGGAGAAUUAAGGUUCGAUUACGGAGAGGGAGCCUGAGAAACGGCUACCACAUCCAAGGAAGGCAGCAGGUGCGCAAAUUACCCAAUCCUGACACGGGGAGUUAGUGACAAUAAAUAACAAUACCGGACACUUUGAGUCUGGUAAUUGGAAUGAGUACAAUCUAAAUCCCUUAACGAGGAUCCAUUAGAGGGCAAGUCUGGUGCCAGCAGCCGCGGUAAUUCCAGCUCCAAUAGCGUAUAGUUAAGUUGUUGCAGUUUAAAAGCUCGUAGUUGAACCUUGGGAUGGGUCGCCCGGUCUGCCUUCGGUGAGCACCGGUCGGCUUGUCUCUUCUGUCGGCGAUAUGCUCCUGGCCUUAACUUGCCGGGUCGUGCCUCCGGCGCUGUUACUUUGAAGAAAUUAGAGUGCUCAAAGCAAGCCUACGCUCUGUAUACAUUAGCAUGGGAUAACAUCAUAGGAUUUCGAUCAAUUUCUGUUGGCCUUCGGGAUUGGAGUAAUGAUUAACAGGGACAGUCGGUGUAAUAACCCUCACGAGCAGAUAGAAUAUUGGUCGAGAAGAUUCUUUAAGAUCAGUUUGAAGAUUGAUCGAUCAGAAUUUAAAUAAAAAUUGACACGGUGAAUUAAUCUCUCGACGGGCUGUCUUUUGGUCGAAAAACCAUCUCUUGAUGGUUCUGGUCGAGUGUUAAUUAUUAUUGUCUAUUUUAAUUCAUGCUGGGCGAGUUUAUUCAGAGCAGGAUGAGAUUCGAAUAAUGAAAAAUAUAUAGUCGAAACAGUCCGAAAAAUAUCGACAAAACUCUUAAAAUUAUUUCUGAACAGCCACAUGCCUUGCACCUUCUAGCCUACUUACUUCCUCAGUAAUUAGAUCACAUGACAUGCACCUACUUGCUUACCUGCUUGCUAAUUAGAAGUCACAUGCUUGUCACAAGCUGUUUGCUUCAGCUGCUCGCAGCUUUCUUCUUGUAAAGGAAAGGUGAGCUGCUUGUGCUGAAGCUGGUUGCCACAUGUUUCUCCAAACUACUACUUUGUGUAAAUAGAAAACCCUAAGCUGAAGCAACCCCAUAUGGUAUAAAACAUCUUCUUCUCUCCUCUGGACGUCCUGUUACUGCAAGAAAAACCAGAGAAAAAUUCAGAGAGAAAGAGAGAAAGAAGAGAGAAAAAUCUGUGAGAAAAAUUAGUUGAAAAAUUCAGAAAAAAAAUCAGAGAAGAGAAUUGAGCAUGGACGAACCUUUCUAACCAUCCUGUGACUUUAAUAAGUGUGUUCUGGUGUGGUUAAGAGCUGAAGAUUUGGUGUCCAAGAGUUUAGAAUCACCCAAGUUCUUUAGCCUUGGAUUUUAUCAGUAAGAACAUAUGGGUUUGAUGAGAUCAGUUUUGCUUGAGCUUCAGUUCUUGUUAGGUAACCAAAAAGAUUUGGUCUGUUUAUGAUCUUGAACCUAUAAUGGGUAUCUUGUCCUGAUCAGGUUAGACGUUUGUUCAGAUUGAAGUUUAUAUUGACCAAGUUCAUCUUAAACCUUGAGGAAAUCGGUAAGCCAUAGCUACUAGUUCAGAGAAGUUUUGUUUGGAACAAGUGGACUGAUUUGUUAAGCUUCCUGUCCAGAUUAGUUCUUAAACCUGUAUGUGGAUUGAUCUUGGUUCAGUUAUGUCUCUGAGAUAUUUUUUUUUUAAAGGCUUAGCUGAACUGAAUUAUCCUUCAACCAAACUGAACUGCUUUGAACUAAGCUGAGUAGAGUUUCUGUUGGAAUCAACCUGACUGAUCUCUUAAUCAGGAGUGAAAUGGAGUGUUGUUAGUUGAGCUCGAGUCUAGUCUUCCCUAGCCAAUCUCAUGGAAUCAAAGGUGAGUCUAGAUAGAUGAUUGAUGAGUAGUGAAUGAAUAUUUCUUGAUUGAACGUACUGAUUGUAGAUGAUUGAUAGGCUUUGUCUCUUGAUCAAUAUUUAAUUGGUGGGGUGUUUACUUAGAGUUUUGUCUCCUGAUCAAUAUUGAAUUAGUAAGGUGUUUACUUAGUGUAAACACUUAUUAAAUAUUUAUGAAUGAUCAUAGAGGUUUAUUCCAAACCUUAGUACUUGUUCUCAAGUACUAAUACAUAUGUAUAGUAUUAAAUAUAAUUAAGUAUGGAAGUAUUAAUCAUGUGAAGUCUUAUUAUAAACCUGUCUUCCAAAAUAUUCCCGUAUGAAUGACGAUUACCGUGAAUUGGUCCUGCGAUAUGGAACAAGGUCACGAAGACAUGAUGAUGGGGUCGCACCCUGGAGGCCGUGUAACUGCAUGCAGCGUUAGAUGUUCAAUUUUUGAAUAUCUGAUGGCGAUGAUGGUGACGCUAACUCGCUAGACUCGUUUAGCCUUUGUGGUUUCUUGGGUCUGGUAUAUAUAUAUAUAUAAAUAUGAAUAUAUGAAUGAUAUGAGAGACGGGAAUAGGAAGUGAGGUAUAUGAUUAGAUUCACAAUGAUGGAAGGAUAGACCUUAUAUCUGUAUUUUUAUUAGUUAUGGAAUAUAUUUCCACUGCAUACAAAUGGAGUUGAUUGCUUGAGAUAUUAUUAAUAUAUGUUGGGGUGCGGGACUAGGCUCACUGAGUAAACUAGUUACUCAUGACAUUUGUGAUGCAGGUAAUUAAUUGGCGGGUGACCUUACUCUAGGACGGGAAAGAAAAUCAUUAGCCAGCGGUAGUUUUAUUAUCCUUGCAAAGUCAUUUUGAUAUAUCUUAUGUAUAAGAUUUGUAGACCGAAAACCUCUACGUUAAAUUAUAACAGAUUUUGUAAGAUGCUUUUAAAUGAUAUAUAUAAAGAUUUUUUUUAAAGUAUAGGUUCCAUAUGAUAUUAGUCCUUGUCCGGACGAACUAACUAUCAGAUAUUUCUUUUUCUGGUUGAAAAGCCUAGAGUGAUAUUCGAUUGGAGUGUUGGUGUUCUUUGGUUGUUGGUCUAAGGUGAUCGGAGGUAUUCUGAGAACUUCGGAUCGACCAUCAAGGAACAUCGACCGUGUCAUUUCCGGUCAACUACGAUCGGGGGUGUCACAAAGGUGGUAUCAGAGCAUGGUUAUACGAUGCUAGAAUGGGACUUGUUUCAAAUGUUUUCAAGUCAAAAUGAGUCGCAAGGAUAACUAGGAUAUGCUGGCUUGUUCCUUUAUUUUAGGAUAGAUAGUCAUGGGUAGUUACCUAACCGUGAUCUUUCAUAGCAGAAGCACCGAGACAAGAUUGAAUGGGGGGACCGUUCUUACCGAUGUUAAUAUCAUUAUGCUCGAGUUUGUUACCCUCAUGGUCGGGUUCACUACCGUCCUGUUAGGAGUCAGUAACCUCAUGUCUUCUUGCCGUUCUUUUGAGUUCUAGUGGGGGAUUCCAAUUCUUUAGAGAGAUAUAUCGGACAGAGUUGAUACAUCAAAAAUAUCUCCGGACUCGUGUAUUAUCAAUGUCAAGCUUAUGCUGAGACGUACAAGCACUAGAGCCGUACAAGCCAAAUUGUUAUGUAUUUGUUUCAAGCUUAUCAUUGGACAAAGAGAUGGUUUGAUUGUAUUACAAGAUGAUGAAAGCACCAGAAGCAUUCUGUUUGCAAAUGAGACAUCAUGAAGGUUAUGAUGCAAAGAAGAAGAAGUUGAGACCACAAGAUACUGAAGAAGGAUUAAACCGUUCGAAGUUGGCUUGAGGCAGAUUUGGGAUCCAACACUUAGAGCAUAAUAUUGAUGUACCCGGUGUUUAGAGAAUAACAAGAAGGAUUUGGCAGCAAGCUAUUUGGAGAAGAACGCUAUGAGUUGUUGGUCGAGAGUCAAGAAUUACUUCAGAGAGUUGUGAUCCCGUUGGACAGAUUUCAAGAGUUCAAGAAGUAGUUUUUUCUACACAUGGUAUGGGACCGAUUGAAGAUUCAGUUUACGGAGUUGGUACACUAAGAUGUUUCUGCCAGGAGGUUCAGGCCGAGUUAAUCAUAUACAAAAAUUUCAGCAUCGAGAUAUGUGGUCGGGUGAAUCUGAUUCAUUAAUUAUACUCUGGAGAAUAAGCCAAAGAUCAGACAGAAAAUCUUUGGGAACUUAGCCAAGAAUUUUGCAGUAGUUAAAAGACCAUGGAAGUUUAGAGCUCCAAGGAGAUGCUAGAGUAUGACAUGAAUAUUAAAGAAGUUACUGAUGAAGAAGUUCACCAAAUCCUACAGAUCGUUUCAUUUCCAACCAGAGAAGAUCGAAGUUCAGUUUCAAGCAGUGGAUUAAGUCGCUGGGAUGAUUUUGGUUGUACAUUUCAUCAGAUCAAGAUUGAGGACCUUGAGCCGUUAUGGUUGUGACUAGCAAAGACAGAAUGGUCGUGAUUGUCAAAGUUUGGGAAAUCCUGGAACGUUUGCAUCAUUCGCGCUUUGGUGGUUCUUGUGAAGAGUUAGGAUUUUAGGUUACCCGUCCUCAUGAAGUUAUCCGAUCUACGUUACCUAUACCUAAGAUAACAUUUGUUGAACUUGUCCGCUUUUCCUUACCAUUAGUCUUGAUCCAAGUGUUAGGCUAUUUGGGUAGAGCCUACACUUUAUGGUUGUCUGGACCGUCAAAACCUCUGAAAGGUCCAAUCACAGGUUUGCUUCUUAUCCCAUUGUGUGUUGUGUGCAUUUUUAAAAUUUUAUGAAUGGUUGAAAUAAAAAAAAAUUAUGUGAAUUUUGAUCAAGGUGUCGUAAGAGACCUUGCCUAUGGAUGGAAUUCUCCGCCCAUAUUGUGUUUGAUUCGGGAACAACACAUGGUUGUAGUUCCUGAGCGAUGUCAUAGUAUUAGAGAGGAUUCACUUUUGUGAAUUUAAGUCUACCGUUCUUAUUUGGAAGUACGGCUGCCAGUUAAAGUUAUGGUAUGCCUUUCCCAUUCCAUUGUACUUCCGUUAGAGCGGUAUCUUUCUAUCUAGAAUGAGAUUGUCUAUCUAGUUACCGAGCUCAAUUAGGAUAUUAAGGAAAUAAGUCUUUUGAAGAGGACCAGUUAUUGUUGGCCUACAAUGGUAUUCUACCAAGUGUUCGAGUAUCACUCAAAUCAGACUGGCGUGUUCAAGAACUUUUGGGAAAAUGUGAAGAAGUGUACUCUAGUAACUUGAUCGUUUAAAAAGUAAAAGAUGAAAAGGAGCAGAGUAAAAGACAGUCUGAUAAUCAGGGAAGAUGAAGAUGUGUUUAAGGCAUUGAAAGGAUGGUCCACAUCUAAAAAAAAGUAACAUGUUCAGUAUUCUUGUUGAACCUGGAUUCACUGCAAUAGCCUAGGGAUUUCACCAGGUGGUUCUUGUCGAGUUCUAGUAGUAGUUAGAAGAUUAUGAAGAGUGUUUCAGAUAGAUCAGAAGUGUAAAGAAUACUGUAAGUGAAAUCAUCCUUGGAAUGGGUGAGUGUGUUUAUUUGAGAGUAGCACCCCUGGUCCGAAUCAUGUUGGCGUGAUUGAUCGUGCAUGUUCUUGUUUGAUUGUUGCACGGUUAAUCAAGUUAACAUUGACCAGACUGGAGAUGUUACAUUCACGUAUGGCACAUCACUCACGUUCUAAAUUUCAUGUUGUUGUUAUGGGGGAGAGCAAGAGAGAAAAGGUUGAGAAGUGAUACUCUACAGAUACAAGAUUGUUAGAAAAAGUAUGCAGACCGCAGUUGACAGGAAUUGUGCGGAGUAAAGAAUUUGGUUAUCUUGAAAGUGGCUGCUCAGAAAAGAAAGGAUCGGUUGGGGGAAACAAGGGAUCGACCAUGAGUUGUUUUGAUAUGGGCAGAUUAAGAUAAGGUCAAAUCUAAUAUCCAGAACUCCUUUCAUAGACUGUUCAGUAAAGAGUGUACAACCACGUUUUUAGAAUUCGGGGACGAAUUAUUUUGAGGGGGGAAGAAUGUAAUAACCCUCACGAGCAGAUAGAAUAUUGGCCGAGAAAAUUGUUUAAGAUCAGGUUGAAGAUUGAUCGAUCAUAAUUUAAAUAAAAAUCGACACGGUGAAUUAAUCUCUCGACGGGCUGUCUUUUGGUCAAAAAACCAUCUCUUGAUGGUUCUGGUCGAGUGUUAAUUAUUAUUGUCGAUUUUUAUUCAUGCUGGGCGAGUUUAUUCAGAGUAGGAUGAGAUUCGAAUGAUGAAAAAUAUUUAGUCGAAACAGUCCGAAAAAUAUCGACAAAACUUUUAAAAUUAUUUCUGAACAGUCACAUGCCUUGCACCUUCUAGCCUACUUGCUUCCUCAGUAAUUAGGUCACAUGACAUGCACAUACUUGCUUACCUGCUUGCUCAUUAGAAGUCACAUGCUUGUCACAAGCUGUUUGCUUCAGCUGCUUGCAGCUUUCUUCUUGUAAAGCAAAGGUGAGCUGCUUGUGCUGAUGCUGGUUGCCACAUGUUUCUCCAAACUACCACUUUGUGUAAAGAGAAAAACCUGAGCUGAAGCAACCCCAUAUGGUAUAAAACAUCUUCUUCUCUCCUCUGGACGUCCUGUUACUGCAAGAAAAACCAGAGAAAAAUUCAGAGAGAAAGAGAGAAAGAAGAGAGAAAAAUCUGUGAGAAAAAUUAGUUGAAAAAUUCAGAAAAAAAAAUCAGAGAAGAGAAUUGAGCAUGGACGAACCUCUCUCACCAUCCUGUGACUUUAAUCAGUGUGUUCUGGUGUGGUUAAGAGAUGAAGAUUUGGUGUCCAAGAGUUUAGAAUCACCCAAGUUCUUUAGCCUUGGAUUUUAUCGGUAAGAACAUAUGGGUUUGAUGAGAUCAGUUUUGCUUGAGCUUCAGUUCUUGUUAGGUAACCACAACGAUUUGGUCUGUUUCUGAUCUUGAACCUAUCAUGAGUAUCUUGUCCUGAUCAGGUUAGACGUGUGUUCAGAUUGAAGUUUAUAUCAACCAAGUUCAUCUUAAACCUUGAGGAAAUCGGUAAGCCAUAGCUACUAGUUCAGAGAAGUUUUGUUUGGAACAAGUGGACUGAUUUGUUAAGCUUCGUGUCCAGAUUAGUUCUUAAACCUGUAUGUGGAUUGAUUUUGGCUCAGUUAUGUCUCUUAGAUAUUUUUUUUUAAAGGCUUAGGUGAGCUGAAUUAUCCUUCAACCAAACUGAACUGCUUUGAACUAAGCUGAGUAGAGUUUCUGUUGGAAUCAACCUGACUGAUAUUGUAUCCACACAUUCUGAAUCAGGAGUGAAAUGGAGUAUUAUUAGUUGAGCUCGAGUCUAGUCUUCCCUAGCCAAUCUCAUGGAAUCAAAGGUGAGUCUAGAUAGAUGAUUGAUGAGUAGUGAAUGAAUAUUUCUUGAUUGAACGUACUGAUUGUAGAUGAUUGAUAGGCUUUGUCUCCUGAUCAAUAUUGAAUUAGUAAGGUGUUUACUUAGUGUAAACACUUAUUAAAGAAUGGGUAAGGUGUUUACUUAGUGUAAACACUUAUUAAAUAUUUAUGAAUGAUCAUAGUGGUCUAUUCCAAACCUUAGUACUUGUUCUCAAGUACUAAUACAUAUGUAUAGUAUUAAAUAUAAUUAAGUAUGGAAGUAUUAAUCAUGUGAAGUCUUAUUAUAAACCUGUCUUCCAAAAUAUUCCCGUAUGAAUGAUGAUUACCGUGAAUUGGUCCUGCGAUAUGGAACAAGGUCACGAAGACACGAUGAUGGGGUCGCACCCUGGAAGCCGUGUAACUGCAUGCAGCGUUAGAUGUUCAAUUUUUGAAUAUCUGAUGGCGAUGAUGGUGAUGCUAACUCGCUAGACUCGUUUAGCCUUUGUGGUUUCUCGGGUCUGGUAUAUAUAUAUAUAUGAUUAUAUGAAUGAUAUGAGAGACGGGAAUAUGAAGUGAGGUAUAUGAUUAGAUUCACAAUGAUGGAAGGAUAGACCUUAUAUAUGUAUUUUUAUUAGUUAUGGAAUAUAUUUCCACUGCAUACAAAUGGAGUUGAUUGCUUGAGAUAUUAUUAAUAUAUGUUGGGGUGCGGGACUAGGCUCACUGAGUAAACUAGUUACUCAUGACAUUUGUGAUGCAGGUAAUUAAUUGGCGGGAAGUAAACUAGUUACUCAUGACUCAUUUGUGAUGCAGGUAACUAAUACGCGGGUGACCUUACUCUAGGACGGGAAGGAACAGCAUUAGCCAGCGGUAGUUUUAUUAUCCUUGCAAAGUCAUUUUGAUAUAUCUUAUGUAUAAGAUUUGUAGACCGAAAACCUCUACGUUAAAUUAUAACAGAUUUUGUAAGAUGCUUUUAAAUGAUAUAUAUAAAGAUUUUUUUUAAAGUAUAGGUUCCAUAUGAAAAACAAAUUUGGUAAGAUGCUUUUAAAUGAUAUAUAUAAUUUUUUUUUUAAAGUAUAGGUUCCAUAUGAUAUUAGUCCUUGUCCGGACAACUAACUAUCGGAUAUUUCUUUUUCGGGUUGAAAAGCCUAGAGUGAUAUUCGACAGGAACGUUGGUGUUCUUUGGUUGUUGGUCUAAGGUGAUCGGAGGUAUUCUGAGAACUUCGGAUCGACCAUCAAGGAACAUCGACCGUGUCAUUUCCGGUCAACUACGAUCGGGGGUGUCACAGUCGGGGGCAUUCGUAUUUCAUAGUCAGAGGUGAAAUUGUUGGAUUUAUGAAAGACGAACAACUGCAAAAGAAUUUGCCAAGGAUGUUUUCAUUAAUCAAGAACGAAAGUUGGGGGCUCGAAGACGAUCAGAUACUGUCCUAGUCUCAACCAAAAACGAUGCCGACCAGGGAUCAGCGGAUGUUGCUUUUAGGACUCCGCUGGCACCUUAUGAGAAAUCAAAGUUUUUUGGUUCCGGGGGGAGUAUGGUCGCAAGGCUGAAACUUAAAGGAAUUGACGGAAGGGCACCACCAGGAGUGGAGCCUGCGGCUUAAUUUGACUCAACACGGGGAAACUUACCAGGUCCAGACAUAGUAAGGAUUGACAGACUGAGAGCUCUUUCUUGAUUCUAUGGGUGGUGGUGCAUGGCAGUUCUUAGUUGGUGGAGCGAUUUGUCUGGUUAAUUCCGUUAACGAACGAGACCUCAGCCUGCUAACUAGCUACGUGGAGGAAUCCCUUCACGGUCGGCUUCUUAGAGGGACUAUGGCUGUUUAGGCCAAGGAAGUUUGAGGCAAUAACAGGUAUGUGAUGCCUUUAGAUGUUCUGGGCCGCACGCGCACUACACUGAUUUAUUCAACGAGCUCACACCUUGGCCGACAGGCCCGGGUAAUCUUUGAAAUUUCACAGUGAUGGGGAUAGAUCAUUGCAAUUGUUGUCUUCAACGAGGAAUUCCUAGUAAGCGCGAGUCAUCAGCUCGCGUUGACUACGUCCCUACCCUAUGUACACACCGCCCGUCGCUCCUACCGAUUGAAUGAUCCGGUGAAGUGUUUGGAUCGCGGUGACGUGGGUGGUUUGCCGUCUGCAACGUCGCGAGAAAGUCCACUAAACCUUAUCAUUUAGAGG
rnacentral:lncRNA from 1 species